UUUUGUUUACUCAAUGGACUCUCAAAUGCUUCAUUUGCUUUCUGCAGGCCUGUCCCCUCCCAUGGCAGCAGUCGGACCCCGUCGGCAUGUUGAAUUGGAGCCAAUUGGUGAUAUCACUCUAAUAUAAAUGUGACGUGAGGUGACACCACAGGUGGCUUUUGUUGCCGCUAGUUCUUUUAUAGACAAUUUGGAUGGGACAAAUGAAGAGUGCACAUGUGCCAGCAGUUUGCAUGGCUUUGUUCUGUGUCAAACAUGAAAAACAUGCCCUAAAUAGAGUCUAUCUGAGAUACACAGCACAAGAUAUUUUUAUACUACAGACCCAUCAUCCAAACCCACUUUCCUCUGGAGGGUCGUGAGAGGACUUUUUGAGUUUAUACCAGUGCUCUGUGCCACAGGCUUUAAAUUUAGAUGUUGGAGUUUUUUUGAUUCAUAUAUUGACAGAGUGUGUAUACACAAGAAAAGUAAUACAAUCAGAAAUAACAAAACCAAGAUUAGGUUUGUGUGAGGUUUCUUUUCUUCUCUUUCUGACUGUAUGCAUAUAAAUCUUUUUUGUUUGAACAAAUGAUUGAAAAAUGUUUUGUAAUAAAUUUAUCACAUGAUAAAGCUGGUAAAAGACGCAUUACUAGUUUUGUUGGUGAGCGCUCUUGAGCGAGUUCUUUGCUUUCACCCGUCAUGAAGUCUUUCCUGUGUGCCUCCUGGGUAAUGAGAAGCCUUUAUAGGCCAUCAAUUAGGACUAAAGCAGCUGAUAUCAAUUAGUAAUGAAAGGGGGCAGGGUUUCUCUCUCAAUACUGACACAUUUCAGGUGAUCUCCUGAAAUCUCCUAUGCCGUUUUGCACCUUGUUGUCUUCAUGUGUUCAAAACUUAUUCCCUGUGUCAUUUCAAUUUAUUUAUUACGACUCAACUUGUAUACUUAAAU